CACAAAUGCCACCAAUCAAGCCAUUUCUUUCUCAAGGGGAACUGAGUGAUUUGCAGGGUUUGGGGAAGGUUGCCUGUGCCUAAAGCAUCAUUCCGUCCCACUCUGACAUUUGUUCUCUGACGUCUUAGGUGCUGUGCACGGAGCUCGACUAUCCUGAAUCCACCAUGAUUCGACCUCAUGUCAGUCCUUUGGCUGCCAGCCCAGUUCAACUCCAAGCUGAUGACCAGUGUCGACCGCCAGUCAUUCUGAACAUUUGACCAGUUGAGCUUUCAAAUGAUGGCAGUCCUGGCUGACAUUUUGGGUGAACAAUAUGAGAGACUGACUGGUUGAGCCCUUCCCAAAUUUCUGACCCACAACAUUGUGAGAAAAAUAAUCUUAAGCCUCUCAGUUUGGGGACAAUUUGUUACUCAGCAAUAGAAAUGAAAAUAUGAUCUCAGUAGGACCAUGUGACUUGCAGCAACCAGGGUGACAAUGAACGUCCC
rnacentral:lncRNA from 1 species